rnacentral:rRNA from 1 species
UGCGCUUCCUGGUAUUCCGGGGAGCAUGCUCGUUUCAGAAUCAUUAAACCUCUCACACUCCAAGUGCGUCUGUCUCGCAGCGUGCUUGGAUGGUGGAUUUGAGUGUCUUUGCGCCUCCGGGUUCAAUCACUUCAAAAUCAUUGUGUGUGUUGACUGAUUUAACAUCAGAGAAAAUCACCGUGCAACAGCUAAUGAUACACUGUGAUUUCCUCUGUUGUAGAAAGUUGGUCGAUGCAUCCUCUUUUGCCGCCUCCAUCGGGCCCAUGGACUAGGUCCCUGAAAAAGAUCUAUUCCAUAGACCUGCUGUAGGUAGCUACACCUUGUGGCGGCCACCGAAAGGCGGAAGCCACUAAAUACUUGGUCUGAAAUCGAGCAAGAAAACCCGCUGAACUUAAGCAUAUCAAUAAGCGGAGGAAAAGAAACUAACAAGGAUUCCCCUAGUAACGGCGAGUGAAGCGGGAAUAGCUCAAAUUUGAAAUCUCACAGUUUCACUGUGCGAAUUGUAGUUUAAAGAAACGUUUUCGGGUACGGCUUGGGUAUAAGUCCUUUGGAAAGAGGCAUCAUAGAGGGUGAGAAUCCCGUUUAUGAUCCAAUGUCCGUGCCUUUGUGAUACGUUUUCUAAGAGUCAGGUAGUUUGGGAUUGCUGCCUAAAAUGGGUGGUAAAUACCAUCUAAAGCUAAAUAUUGGCGAGAGACCGAUAGCGAACAAGUACCGUGAGGGAAAGAUGAAAAGAACUUUGAAAAGAGAGUUAAACAGUACGUGAAAUUGCCAAAAGGGAAACGCUUGGGACCAGUAUUGUCUCCAGGUAAUCAAGCAUACGUCCCGCAAGGGUCGCGUGUGGUGCACUUGCCUGUAGACAGGCCAACAUCAGUUUGGUUCGGGGUAAAAAGCCAGAGAAAGGUAGCUUAGACUUGUCUGAGUGUUAUAGUCUCUGGUCAUGCCUUGGACUAGACUGAGGUCUGCAGCGUUAUUUGGAUACCCGAUUGCCUCUUGAACC